CUACGUGCCAGCAGCCGCGGUAAUACGUAUGUCGCGAGCGUUAUCCGGAAUUAUUGGGCAUAAAGGGCAUCUAGGCGGCCGGAUAAGUCUGGGGUGAAAACUUGCGGCUCAACCGCAAGCCUGCCCUGGAAACUAUGCGGCUAGAGUACUGGAGAGGUGGACGGAACUGCACGAGUAGAGGUGAAAUUCGUAGAUAUGUGCAGGAAUGCCGAUGAUGAAGAUAGUUCACUGGACGGUAACUGACGCUGAAGUGCGAAAGCUAGGGGAGCAAACAGGAUUAGAUACCCUGGUAGUCCUAGCUGUAAACGAUGAUUACUGGGUGUGGGCAUGAAGAGUGUCCGUGCCGAAGCUAAUGCGAUAAGUAAUCCGCCUGGGGAGUACGGCCGCAAGGCUGAAACUCAAAGGAAUUGACGGGGACCCGCACAAGCGGUGGAGCAUGUGGUUUAAUUCGACGCAACGCGAGGAACCUUACCAGAUCUUGACAUCCUG
rnacentral:rRNA from 1 species